rnacentral:rRNA from 1 species
GAUGAACGCUAGCGGCAGGCUUAACACAUGCAAGUCGAGGGGCAGCAUAAUGGAUAGCAAUAUCUAUGGUGGCGACCGGCGCACGGGUGCGUAACGCGUAUGCAACCUACCUUUAACAGGGGGAUAACACUGAGAAAUUGGUACUAAUACCCCAUAAUAUCAUAGAAGGCAUCUUUUAUGGUUGAAAAUUCCGAUGGUUAGAGAUGGGCAUGCGUUGUAUUAGCUAGUUGGUGGGGUAACGGCUCACCAAGGCGACGAUACAUAGGGGGACUGAGAGGUUAACCCCCCACACUGGUACUGAGACACGGACCAGACUCCUACGGGAGGCAGCAGUGAGGAAUAUUGGUCAAUGGACGCAAGUCUGAACCAGCCAUGCCGCGUGCAGGAUGGCGGCUCUAUGAGUUGUAAACUGCUUUUGUACGAGGGUAAACGCAGAUACGUGUAUCUGUCUGAAAGUAUCGUACGAAUAAGGAUCGGCUAACUCCGU